GAUGAAGAACGCAGCGAAAUGCGAUAAGUAAUGUGAAUUGCAGAUUUCAGUGAAUCAUCGAAUCUUUGAACGCACCUUGCGCCUUGUGGUAUUCCACAAGGCAUGCCCGUUUGAGUAUCAUUAAAUCAUCAACUCUAAAACCUUUGUGGUUUUUUUAGAGCUUGGUCUUGAGGGUUUUGCAGGCUUUUUUUUUUUUCGAGUCUGCUCCCUUUAAAUGCAUUAGCGAGACUUCCCUAUGCUGAACCGUCUCUUUGACGUGAUAAUUAUCUGCGUCGAAUUUUGGUUCUCGUUGGGCUUGCUUCUAAUCGUCUGUUAAAGACAAAACGGAUUUGGGUGCAUAUAUGCGCCUUUUUCCAAAACCUUUUUUGAUCUCAAAUCGGGUAGGACUACCCGCUGAACUUAAGCAUAUCAAUAAGCGGAGGA
rnacentral:misc_RNA from 1 species